UUAAGUGCGACUUUUCUUUUGAAUAACUAGCUACCCUGUCACAAUCAUAUGUAGCUUUAAAAUUGAAAAAAGCAACUCUAAUGCUCUCAAAAUAGAAUUGAAAUCGGUAUGAGGCAACACCUUGAAGCGUUCUUUUUUCGAUUUAAACGUUCCAGCCAGUCAGACGUUCACAAGUUUCGUCCUCGGACCGAAACUGAAUGUUCUACAGGAGUUAGUGCAGGUCUAAAGCAUAAGGCUUGUGCUUUUGUGUGUCUCCACAGUGAUACUAGGUUUUAAUGUAACUUGAGUAGUUGCUGAUAGCUGUCUACACUUAUGUGAGCCUAAUUAUUUUGCUGUACGUUGAAUGCAAGACACAAAAGCACGCGAAAAUGCAUUUGAGGACACAAUAAAGCGUGAACUCUUUAUUAUAUAUUUUAAAUUAUAAUGCAACUAACAAAUCUGGCUGAAUGAAUUUAUUUUAACGUUUUUAUUGUGUUCUUGGGUGUACAUAAUGCAAGACCGGUGAGGGAGCCAUACAUUUUGUAUGAGAUGAAUGCUGAAUGGGUGAUCCUAGGUGUUUUAAAUGUGGACUAUAAGAUUUUGCAUAGUUUUAUAAUGGGGAACAGAUUUUACAAAUUCACCUUUGUGUAUGAUGGUUGCAGUUAUCGUCUCUCGCGUCAAGCUCACUAUCGCACUUACAAGAGUGGCGGCCACGUUGACAGACGAUAAAAACUCAACCAACUCACGUCCGUUUAGAAAAAAAAAACAGCAAAGUCCAAUUAGUUGUGUUGACUCUUCAUGCAAUUUAACAUAAGCGUGUAAUUUCGAUGUUAUGAAAAAUUUGUACAGCUAUCAUAAUACUUAAUACUUCGAGCAACACGGAAGGGAGGCGGCAUUCGCACUAUUUCCCCUCUGCCGAGGUACAAGAUUAGCGCGUCAAUCUAAUCUAGCGCGGGUAAUAAAACUAGUUGCACUUGGAUUUUUCACUAGACCGAGUCCAGACGCGCGCGUGAACACUGCUGCACAAAAAUGCCUGUUUGCUCGGUUGUUUGUUAUAAAAAGAGGUCGGGGACAUCAAAUUUACAAAAAGAAAGUGUUACAUUUCACAUGUAAUAUUUUUUUUUACAUAUCAUACGUUUAAUUACAUUCAAACACAAUAAUUAUAUUUUAGUCUCAUGCAAUUGUUGGAUUUAUCGAUUUUGCUCGCUCAAUACAAAUUGCGGAUCGGUCGAGCGACAAAUCCGACUUCUCAUCUCUCAGAAUACAAUAACAUACUUCAACAAAAUGUGUUAGUGUGCGUGUUGUGACACUUGUCACUCGUCCGUACACAAAAAGAGAUCGAGGUUUGCAAGAUUUGUCUUUGACGUGUGUCAUUUUCUAUGUAUUUGUGUCGUCAUUACAGAUUGGAUUUUGUAUGUAAGUGUGUGAGAAGUGCGACUGUGUGCACCUUUCCCCCCGCGAAAAAUGGCAGAAAUAUUUGUACGGUGAGAUAUCGCUUGGGCCCCUCCUUUCCGAUGUGUCGGAAGCCGGUGUUGCUCGAAGACUUAAUAUAUAAAUCAUGUGACACAAUAAGUCAAUUUUCUACUUAUACAGGAUGAAUCUGUUCCCUAAGACUGUUAGGGUACUUGGUUUUUAAGUGCAAGUAUGCUGCAGUACGGCUCGUUUGGGGUAAUAGUAAGAUCGCACUUUUAAAACGAAAACAAUUAAGUUGACACAUUUAGUUUUUUUUUCAUGACCAUGCAGGCAUGCACACAAGUCCUUCAGUCGCAUUCAUAAACGACACAUAUAGUCUGGCUAACAAAUUUGUCAGUAGAAAAAAGCCGGCAAAUCAGGUUCGAGCUAAUAUAUUUUUUAAAUUUCGCGGCCUUUUCUGUCAAUUGAUUUGCCAGACUGUAACAUAUUACUUAAAUUCGAAUAUUUUAAGUAAUUUGGACACAGAGACGCAUUAUGACCGCGCAAAAGAUUGGUAGAAAUAUAAUGAAGUUAUAUUAUCAACUGGAACUUGUGUGUUUUCGUUUUAAAUAUACGAUAUGAAUGAAGGGACGACUAAAGCUCUGUGUUGUAUAUAGCACGCACCGCGGGACCGGGCCGAUUUCAUUUCAUUAAUUAAUUAAUAAAUAUAUAAUAAGACAGGAAAAAAAAACUUCUGGCAGUGCCGAGGUUCCAUGUCAUAAAGAACUAUAUUAAUACAGUGGUGGUCAAUUAAUAAUUAUUCGUUAAUAUCUGUUUUAUUACUGAAUGUUGAGUUAGAGGCAGCUAAAUAUCUCUAUUCCCUUUUACGAUAUCAACUAUAGCAAAGUGUGAUGUUAACCCUUUUCCAGUCCGCACCACCAUAUAUUCCAAUUUAUCCAGCUUUGAACAUUCAUUUGAAGACAUGUCACAUGAAUCAUUUCCCGAAAGUGCAAUCUAAUUUGAACCUUAAAUCGGAAUGUUAAAGUUUAAAUUCUGUUGGCGCGUAUGUGGUGAUAUGCCUGGAAAAGGGUAAGAACAUUAAUAAUUGUUCCACUUUUACCUCAAUACGGACAUACUUACGAUCUUUUGGCGAUUUGUGCGAUUUAGCUCGGUUUGGUUCGGUUAAGACAUAAAUAAUAUAUUAUAUUAGUAAAUAUUGGGUUCUGAGUCCCGCGGUCCUUGUAAUUAGUAUUAUUUAUUUAAUUAGUGCUUAAGAAUAAAAUCUUAUGAUUCUAAUAAAUUAUAUCUAAAGUUUUUUAAUUAGUGAGAUUAUCACCGCUCUUGGGCUUUUAUUAAUGUUUUAUAACUUUUUUAAUAAUUGUAAUACUGUAAAAUACUGUCAUUCCAAGCUUGAUGUCAAUAGUAACAUUAAAUGGUUACAUAUAUUUGAGAGCAAUACCUAAUGUAUGUUUAGUCGUAGUUUUGACAUUGUUAUAACAGAUUUAUUAGUAGGAUUUUUUGUAAUAUAAUUUAUGUGAGAUAUGUUCUUUUGGAUAAUUGUGUUAGGGGCUAAAUUAUAUUUUGUAUGUUCCGCUCCGCGCGACUUUGGUCAGACACUACUUCGGUUCGGUUUCAAAUUCGGUAUUUUCUUCUGAUCAUGCAUUGCAUGUUGGCUGCAAAUUGGGUUACAACCAAAAAAAAUCAAUCUAUCAAAAAGUCUCCCAUUCCAUUCUACUUUAAAUCUUUUUGGGUUGACACAUAAAAAUUGCAUUAGGUAAAUUAUUAAGCUAUGACGUUUGUGCGCCUAGGGGUUUGAAAUCAAACCUAAAAUCCUGGUCACGGCACCGCACUUACUUUCAAUAAGCUGUAAAAAAAAAUAGCCACGAAUAAUUAAGUAAUUGUAAUUUUUUUCCACAUCUGUACAAAAUUACACAGUUCAACAUUUUUGGAGCCGACUUUGCACGGUGAAAGAGAAGAAAAUACUAUCCAAAUGUCAUUAUUAUUAAUCUGGGUAUAUUUAUGUUUAUUACAAUCUGACUUUUUAUUUUAUAGAUCUACAGUUACAGUUUUGUCAAUAGUGCGUCGAAUCAUAUUAUUGUAUUCUACAAGUGGUACGGUCACUUGGGUACUGUCUUUUUAUAAAGGCCAGCACACCGGCUGCGUAUGCGUAGAAGUACAUCUGCGCGUGGCUAUGAUGUUGGAGUCGUGCACGCAAGUGGUGUGCCGUCUGUCACAAGGAUCUGUAUAUUACAACCCGCACGCGCCUGCUACGCAUACGCAUCCGGUGUGCACGGGUCUUAGACGUUUCACUUUUGUUUGCCGUGGCAAAAAUGUUUAUGACAGAUCAGUACCGAUAACUGAGAACAGCAAACAACUAAACUAACAAUAAAUAUAAAGAAUAUGAAUUUUGUAUACUUCAAUGACUGGUUUUUGUCGCGAAUCUGGUUUAUUGUAAAUACCCAUAAUACACGCUGAAUAUACAUAUUUUAAAUAAAACAUUAAACCCA